UACGUAGGGUGCAAGCGUUGUCCGGAAUUAUUGGGCGUAAAGAGCUCGUAGGCGGUCUGUUGCGUCAGGAGUGAAAACUCGGGGCUUAACCCCGAGCCUGCUUCUGAUACGGGCAGACUAGAGGUAUGCAGGGGAGAACGGAAUUCCUGGCGUAGCGGUGAAAUGCGCAGACAUCAGGAGGAACACCGGUGGCGAAGGCGGUUCUCUGGGCAUUACCUGACGCUGAGGAGCGAAAGUGUGGGGAGCGAACAGG
rnacentral:rRNA from 1 species